rnacentral:rRNA from 1 species
ACUCCUACGGGAGGCAGCAGUGGGGAAUAUUGCACAAUGGGCGCAAGCCUGAUGCAGCCAUGCCGCGUGUGUGAAGAAGGCCUUCGGGUUGUAAAGCACUUUCAGUUGUGAGGAAGGUGGUGUCGUUAAUAGCGGCAUCAUUUGACGUUAGCAACAGAAGAAGCACCGGCUAACUCCGUGCCAGCAGCCGCGGUAAUACGGAGGGGGUUAGCGUUGUUCGGAAUUACUGGGCGUAAAGCGCGCGUAGGCGGACUAGAAAGUUGGGGGUGAAAUCCCCGGGGGCUCAACCUCGGAACUGCCUUCAAAACUCCUAGUCUAGAGUUCGAGAGAGUGAGUGGAAUUCCAAGUGUAGAGGUGAAAUUCGUAGAUAUUUGGAGGAACACCAGUGGCGAAGGCGGCUCACUGGCUCGAUACUGACGCUGAGGUGCGAAAGUGUGGGGAGCAAACAGGAUUAGAUACCCUGGUAGCUACGAGU